AAGUCGUAACAAGGUUUCCGUAGGUGAACCUGCGGAAGGAUCAUUAACACUUAUUAUUAUCCAAUAUCAAAAAUAAAACCAAACGGCAACUUAUCUUCUCCCUAUUUCGACUACCGGAGACGGUUCGAUUAGGCUAAACUUUUUUCCCACAAUUUUUAACCCCAUUCAAUUUAUAUUAUAGCAAUAUGAUAUAAAACCAACUCUUCGAUUUGUCUGUUGCGAAACAGCAAAUACGAACUAAACUAAAAUAUACAUUUUUUAUAUUUUUAUUUUACGAAAUAAUAUAUAUUUAUAAGAACAACUCUUAGCAAUGGAUAUCUUGGUUCUC
rnacentral:misc_RNA from 1 species